rnacentral:snRNA from 1 species
AGCUUUGCGCAGUGGCAGUAUCAUAGCCAAUGAGGUUUAUCUGAGGCCUGAUUAUUGCUAAUUAAAACUAAG